rnacentral:lncRNA from 1 species
AUGGAUGCCCCGCAGGCCGUGCCCAGCCGUCCCUCCCUGCUCCAGCUCCUCAGGGGGCUCUUUGGCUACCACCGAAGCGCUCUGGGGACACAGGGGCCCAGAGCGGAGCACCAAGAGCCAGGCACCACCAGGGACCCCGGUGGCUCGCAGGGAGAGCGGGUCUCACCUGCCCACAGGGAGCCUGGGGGCCCAUACUGGGAGCCCCUGGGGGAUGUGGAGAGGGAGGGCACGGAGCUGCUGCUGGGGGAGCUGCAGGAGCUCAGCCUGGAGGGCUCCCUGGGGAGCAGCAGGAGCUGCCUGAGCGCCGGCACCAGCGACACGGAGCUGGAGGUGGCCAGGGACGGGCAGGAGGCUCCUGCCGGCAGCGGGGCCCAGCAGGACGCAGCCAGCGGGGUGGCCUCGGCAGAAGCUUUUGGGGACAAAGCUCUGAAGAUGGAUGGGCUCCUCCAUGGUCCGAGUGCUGCUGCUGAAGAUGUUACGGGCUCUGCAAGCUCCGAGCUGAAGUUUUCUGCGGGCUUUGAUGCUGAAUGGGACAAAGGGCAGCUCCUGAAAGCAGAUCAGGGUGCAGGAUCCUCCAAGGCAGAGCUCUCCCUGUGGAACAGGCUCAUCGGCAUGAACAGACAGCAGUGGGCUUCACGUAAGCCUCAUGCCUCGGGCAGUUCGCUGGGACUGGAAAGCGAAGAGGAGCCGCUUUUGGAGGCAGCUGACAGCAGCCCCACGACGCUGGAGCUGCGCGCAGAGCCCCGCGACGCGCUCCCUGCCUACAGGUUUUCUGAAGACAAAGUGGGAGAAACCGUUGGCUGCUUUGGGAGAAGCCAGGUGGAGCUGGGAGCAAGUGGCACAGGAGCCCUUGGAUAAAGGUCCAGCACCAGGCAGGGAUGGGGAGCAGCCCCCAGCAGAGCCUCCCACACCAGCAGCCCUCCUGGAGGAGACCUGGCGCUUCCCCUCUGCCCCCCAACGAGCUCCUCGCUCCAGCUUCCUCCUCUUCUUCCCCCUGUUUGUUGUUCAUGCACAUGCCCAGUUUCCUUCCUGCUUUCUCCCAUGCCCGUUCCUUGGAGAAGGACCCCGGGUCUCACUGCACAGACCGGCACAGCCAGGUUUGGUUUGAAUUUUUUUAGAUUCAGCAUUUAGUGUGAAUAAAUUGUUCUUGCUUCUCUCUCUGAUUAUUUAC